rfam:Schistosoma margrebowiei strain Zambia genome assembly, scaffold: SMRZ_scaffold0000161
GCACUGUUGAGGAAUCCUAAAAUAGGACGAAACGGCCGUCCAGUGC